rnacentral:rRNA from 1 species
UAGCAUGGAAUAAUAAAAUAGGACUUCGGUUCUAUUUUGUUGGUUUGAGGAACGAAGUAAUGAUUAAUAGGGAUAGUUGGGGGCAUUAGUAUUCCAUUGUCAGAGGUGAAAUUCUUGGAUUUAUGAAAGACUAACUUCUGCGAAAGCAUUUGCCAAGGAUGUUUUCAUUAAUCAAGGACGAAAGUUAGGGGAUCGAAGACGAUCAGAUACCGUCGUAGUCUUAACCAUAAACUAUGCCGACUAGGGAUCAGACAAUGUUAUUUUAUUGACUUGUUUGGCACCUUAUGAGAAAUCAAAGUUUUUGGGUUCCGGGGGGAGUAUGGUCGCAAGGCUGAAACUUAAAGGAAUUGACGGAAGGGCACCACCAGGGGUGGAACCUGCGGCUUAAUUUGACUCAACACGGGGAAACUCACCAGGUCCAGACACAGUGAGGAUUGACAGAUUGAGAGCUCUUUCUUGAUUCUGUGGGUGGUGGUGCAUGGCCGUUCUUAGUUGGUGGAGUGAUUUGUCUGCUUAAUUGCGAUAACGAACGGGACCUUAACCUGCUAAAUAGCCCGUACUGCUUUGGCAGUUCGCCGGCUUCUUAGAGGGACUAUCGGCUCAAGCCGAUGGAAGUUUGAGGCAAUAACAGGUCUGUGAUGCCCUUAGAUGUCCUGGGCCGCACGCGCGCUACUCUGACAAAGUCAGCGAGUAUAUACCUUGGCCGGAAGGUCUGGGAAAUCUUGUGAAACUUUGUCGUGCUGGGGAUAGAGCAUUGCAAU